rnacentral:rRNA from 1 species
UGGGGAAUCUUGCACAAUGGGGGCAACCCUGAUGCAGCGACGCCGCGUGAGCGAUGAAGCCCUUCGGGGCGUAAAGCUCUUUCGACCGGAACGAUAAUGACGGUACCGGGAGAAGAAGCUGCGGCUAACUACGUGCCAGCAGCCGCGGUAAUACGUAGGCAGCAAGCGUUAAUCGGAAUUACUGGGCGUAAAGCGUGCGCAGGCGGUUCGGGAAGAAAGGUGUGAAAUCCCAGGGCUUAACCUUGGAACUGCACUUUUAACUACCGGGCUAGAGUACGUCAGAGGGGGGUAGAAUUCCACGGGUAGCAGUGAAAUGCGUAGAGAUGUGGAGGAGUACCGAUGGCGAAGGCAGCCCCCUGGGAUGAUACUGACGCUCAUGCACGAAAGCGUGGGGAGCAAACA